CAAACAUAAGAUAUGUCUCUGGAUAAAUCUGAUCCCAUCUGAUCUUAAGAAGCUAAUCAGAGUUGGGCCUGGAUAGUCCUUGAAUUACUACUUGGGACCACCAGAUGAUUGG
ensembl:rRNA 5S_rRNA 5S ribosomal RNA